AGUAGGACCCGUUGUCCCUCUAAAUGAUCCGAAUCUGACACAUCCAACUUGAUCCACUCCAUGACAAUUACAUUCCACCUGAUUCAUUUGAUAUAAUGAAUGUUUGGAUCAAUCGGAUCCAUUCUUUAUGCCCAACCAACCCAAUUCGCAUGCGGGUAAACCCAUACGGGUCCAUUCCAAACCUACUAGCCCCGUUUUAUUAGCGUCUCUCCUUAGCCACCCGCAUUCUCCCGCCAUGAGAACAGAUCAAGCAAGCCCCACGCCCGUCACUCACCUCUUCCCCCGAGCAAGCUACGGAAGCUCCUCCUCCCCGUUCUCCCCAUCUCUUCCUCUCAUCCGGCUGCCGAAGCACUCCUUCUUCACUCCUACGUCGACGUCGUCUUCGGUCCCCUAAACACCCACGUCGGGUCUCGCUCCUUCCGACCUACCUUCUCUUUAGCUCCGUAUUCCUCACCCCACCACCCCGGGCUGCAUACAAUUUCUCUUUCCUCCUCGCCUCCGACAGUCUCCUGGCGCCGGGCUUGAUCCAGCCAGAGCAGGCCACGGUGUACGCAAUCAAUUUUGGGCUCGAGACCCGGGUGUCCGUUUCCAUUGUAAUGAUCCUUAUGUAUAGGAGCUUUGGGUCAGUCCACGAAGCGUUAUGGUGCCUGACGCGAGAGCUGUUCUCAGAGAACUUGUUGCAUCGGUUGGCAUGGGCAUAUGAUAAUAUCGACCACGCUAGCGAGUUGUUCGACAAAAUGCUGCAGAAGGAUGCUGUAUCACGGAGUGGCAGAUGAUGUGCUGCUAUUGGAAGAUUGGUGGACCAAGGAAAAUCUUGUUUUAAUCCAAUAAGGAAUGUUUACAUGGUAAAUGUUGUCAAGCAUGGUGUGAUGUUAAAAGAAGCAGAGGAGAUGAUUUUCAGCAAUGGUAAUGUCUCCAGAAUUUUCCAUAUGUAGGUUGCACUGCUUGAUGCUUUUUUCAGAUACAUGGAGAUAUCAAGAUGUGAUAUCGGAUCGAUAAGGUCAACGAGUGGAGCCUGCAAUGUGGGUUAUUUUUUUUAUUGGCAAUCAUGUUUUUGGGAUCCAGGAGAUAGAAUGAUGCAAGAUAUGUCAGAACGAGCAUCAAAAUUGGUGGUGGAAGAAAGUGAUGCCACUCCAAAUUGAUGGUAUGUUUCAUCAGUUACUCAUGGGAAAUCGAUCUCGCCACACACUAAACGCAUCUAUUUAUCUUUGUAUGAGAUGCUUUUCAAAGUUUAGCUUGCUGGCUAUGCGCCAGAAGUUGGAGAGGUGCUGCUUGACUCCUAUCAAUUGGACAAAGAGACUGUUCUGUGUAUACAGAGUAAUAUAUUAGCCAAUGCCUUUGGGUUGAUAAACACAAAAUCAGGAUGCCAAUAGCAGUUAUGAAAAAUCUGACAGUUUGCGGUGACUGCCAUCAUGCUAGAAAGUCCAUCUCCAAGGUCCACGAUCGAGAGAUAAUAUAGUGCAGGACAGGAUCACGUUUCAUCGCUUCAAAGCAGAUUAUGUUCCUGCAACUUGCAAGAAUCACUGGUAAACGAUUGAAUUUGUGCCAACAAGGAGAAUCUAUUAGAUGACUAAAACUAUUCUUUCUCGUCUUCAUGUGGUAAAGUUGCCUACAGCUAUCCUCUAUAUUUAAAAGGAUUGCUCGAUUCCAUACUAAUAUCAUUUAGCUCUGCUGCUGAAAAUUUUGCCUAGUUGCCUUUUUUACUGAUUAUUUGUGCAAUAAUUCUUGGGAACUAACCGUUUUUCAAUAAAUCUUAUGAGCAUUUAAAUAUUAA